UGCACUUUCCAAGUAAGUGGCGAACGGGUGAGUAACACGUGAAUAACCUACCUCAAAGUCUGGGAUAACCAUUGGAAACAGUGACUAAUACCGGAUAAAACCCAAGUGCACAUGCACUAAGGUUAAAAGCUGCGUUUGCAGCGCUUUAAGAUGGAUUCGCGGUGCAUUAGUUAGUUGGUGAGGUAAAGGCUCACCAAGACGAUGAUGCAUAGCCGAGUUGAGAGACUGACCGGCCACAUUGGGACUGAGACACGGCCCAAACUCCUACGGGAGGCUGCAGUAGGGAAUCUUCCACAAUGGGCGCAAGCCUGAUGGAGCAACGCCGCGUGUGUGAUGAAGGCUUUCGGGUCGUAAAGCACUGUUGUAUGGGAAGAACGGGUUUAAGAGGAAAUGCUUAGACAGUGACGGUACCAUACCAGAAAGGGACGGCUAAAUACGUGCCAGCAGCCGCGGUAAUACGUAUGUCCCGAGCGUUAUCCGGAUUUAUUGGGCGUAAAGCGAGCGCAGACGGUUGCUUAAGUCUGAAGUGAAAGCCCACAGCUCAACUGUGGAAUGGCUUUGGAAACUGGGCAACUUGAGUACAGUAGAGGUAAGUGGAACUCCAUGUGUAGCGGUGGAAUGCGUAGAUAUAUGGAAGAACACCAGUGGCGAAAGGCGGGYUUAMUGGGAYUGCAAACUGACGGUUGAGGGCUCGAAAAGUGUGGGGUAGCAAACCRGGAUUAAGAUAACCCUGGGUAGUUCCACACCGGUAAACGAUGGAUACUAGUUGUUAGAGGGUUUCCGCCCUUUAGUGACGAAGCAAACGSAUUAAGUAUCCCGCCUGGGGAGUACGACCGCAAGGUUGAAACUCAAAGGAAUUGACGGGGACCCGCACAAGCGGUGGAGCAUGUGGUUUAAUUCGAAGCAACGCGAAGAACCUUACCAGGUCUUGACAUCCUUUGAAGGUACUAGAGAUAGUACUGUCUUCUUCGGAAGCAAAGUGACAGGUGGUGCAUGGCCGUCGUCAGCUCGUGUCGUGAGAUGUUGGGUUAAGUCCCGCAACGAGCGCAACCCUUAUGUUUAGUUGCCAGCAUUCAGUUGGGCACUCUAGACAGACUGCCGGUGACAAACCGGAGGAAGGCGGGGACGACGUCAGGUCAUCAUGCCCCUUAUGACCUGGGCUACACACGUGCUACAAUGGCGUAUACAACGAGCAGCAAACCUGUGAAGGCAAGCGAAUCUCUUAAAGUACGUCUCAGUUCGGAUUGUAGUCUGCAACUCGACUACAUGAAGUCGGAAUCGCUAGUAAUCGCGGAUCAGCAUGCCGCGGUGAAUACGUUCCCGGGUCUUGUACACACCGCCCGUCACACCAUGGGAGUUGGUAAUGCCCAAAG
rnacentral:rRNA from 1 species